rnacentral:tRNA from 1 species
GGAAUAUUGCUUAGUGGUAAAGUGCUUGCCUAGCAUGUAUGAAGCCCUGGGUUCGAUUCCCAGUACCA